rnacentral:rRNA from 1 species
AGUAAUGUAUGGGAUUUGCCCGAUAGAGGGGGAUAACUACUGGAAACGGUGGCUAAUACCGCAUAAUGUCUACGGACCAAAGCAGGGGCUCUUCGGACCUUGCACUAUCGGAUGAACCCAUAUGGGAUUAGCUAGUAGGUGGGGUAAAGGCUCACCUAGGCGACGAUCUCUAGCUGGUCUGAGAGGAUGAUCAGCCACACUGGGACUGAGACACGGCCCAG